UGGGACGUCGACAAGCGGUAAGUCAACUGGUUUUGGUCCAGUCAUUCGAGGGUUCGAAUCCUUCCGUCCCAG
rnacentral:tRNA from 17 species